UGAAACCAAAAAUGAUAUUAUUUCCGUGUAGGCUUACCCGCGUUCCAUGUCUCUGAUCCCAUAUAAGUUGCGAUUCUACAGUAAAGGCCUGAUCAAAACUAAAGAUUUGCGUUCCUAAAAGGAAGUACACGAAAAACACCGAACAUUUACGAGCUCGGGUAUCGUCGGUCAAGGGCAUAAGUCCAACAUUCUGAACAAUCCAGUCUCUUAAGUCUAAACCACCGAACAGUUAAGACACGGCAGUGCGACAUAGAAGAAAAAGUUGAACUAUUAAUUUUGUAGAGCUAGUCGAUGAUUGGAUUAUUUCUGGUGUAAAGUAGUGAGUGCGAAUCCCAAAACUGAAAAGUUAGAAAAACGUGCUUUUCGAGAAGAAAGAAAGCUAUUGUGAAUCCUCGUUUAAUAGUAAUCAGACUUUCCUUCAAGUGAAGGUCCACCCCUAGGACGUAGUGGUAACCGUCCAAAGUCACGGCCACCGACGAUAUUCGUCGAACCAUGUUGGGCCGAUGAGCAUUGUGCCAGUGCAGCAUAACAACAUCGCGAGCAUCGAGCAUCGAUGUUGCCAGUGACAGGUCAUCCUAGCCAAGCCUUCAACCUCCGUUACCUCCAUUGACGGAUAUUCACCACUAGUCCGAACGUACCGCUACGGGGUGAUUGUGACGUUCACCACGUGACGCAACAUAUGGUGGUUCAGUUGCCGCUAUCCGCCGAGAGAGGGCCGCGGAAAGCAUAAAACCGCACACGUGCAGGCUACCCGAUCAAAAAGGUGACACCCUGAAGAGAACGUGUUUCGGUGGCAGGAUUCCGUGCGAGUAAAGGAAAGAUUCGCAUUAUCAGAAAGGAGAAGGAGAAAGGAAAAGAGGAUCGUACAGUGAGAAAAGAACAAGUAAGCGCUACCCAAAAUUGUAUAUACUAACCCCCUAGAGUUAAGAUCAUUAUGUACAUAGCAACACACCUUUUCAAAGAUUAGUUUUAGUAAAACUUGGUACCAAAUGCAUAACUCUUUUGGCAAUUUUAGUAAGUUCAAGUGAUUGGAUGAGAGAAUACUGGUGAUUUCAGAUUUCGGUGUUCGGGUCGAGUAGAAUAGGCUCUGGGUAGGAAAACCUACAAAGGAAACCUAUCCACCCUGCAGUUUGAUAGCUUUUCUUUUGAUAGUUUGUUUCUGUUCGUUGGAGGUCGUGUGCUAAGGUUUCGGUCGUGGGUCAGCGGUCGCGAUUUAGGACCUGCCCUGAGGUCUCGCAGCCGGGUCGGGAUUCUUUGGUGAGACAACUCGCUUCCUUCGCGGCAAGAAAUAGCUUGCCUGGCGCUUAAGCGGAGGUAGUAUCAAAUCCGAGAUUUAUGCCGUCCCGAGUCCCGUUACAGGUUGUU